rnacentral:tRNA from 1 species
GCGGGCGUGGCGAAACUGGUAGACGCAAGGGACUUAAAAUCCCUCGGCCUUGGCUUUACGGGUUCGACCCCCGUCGCCCGCACCA